UCCAUCGCCUCUGCCUCUCUCUCUCCGUUCUUCCACCUAGCUCACUCAAAUCUGCAUCAUUUUCGUAUGAGAUUCAAUAGAGAAUUUGCUUGGGGUUGUGUAGGUUGGUUUGAUCACUAGAAAUAUCUUUUUUUUUUUACGCCGGCGAUGCUGUUGGUCGGCGCUGGCCAAGCUCGACCCGCGCGGACGGAAGACGAUGUGGGAACAGAGCAACACGUGGGCGAGGAGACGGGGCGACGUGGGUUGAGAUAGGAGUGAAGCUGCCGCCGGCGUCACGCCCGCAUCAACAGCCGGAGUUCCGACGGAGUUCCUAGGGUUCCUCCUCCCUUCGCUGUCCAGCUGCGGCUUGCGCUCCCCGCUCCUUUCCCUACGCAGCUCUACGGUAGCGGCAUCCUACUCGCACGCUGUCGACAAUACGGCCGAGCCACCGCAGGCGACCUACUCGAAAAUUGGUCAGCAUGAUCCGGUUGUCGCCAUGGAUGCUGUCAAGAAGGCCAACUCCGGCCACCCCGGGAUGCCUAUGGGCCAUAUCCUCUACAACGAGGUGAUUAGUGUAAACUGUACUAAGUAAGUAUGUCGUGAAAGCCUUCAAUUGCGUGAAAGUUCACUGCCCAGAAAGGUACCAGCGUGGAUGAGGAUUUUUCACCAGCCUCGAAGAAUGAAACCUUUCUUUGGAUGAGACGAUGAGGGGGGAAUUUACAAGCUGCUUCCAAAUUUAUUUGGUCUGUUAUAUUCAGGCAAUCUGCUAUGUUCAGUCAACGAAAACUCGACAUGUUUGCUGUAUUGGUCAUGGACAUACAUGAUG